ensembl:lncRNA
ACGACAGGAAGUCCUACUUCCAGUGUUUGUGUUGUCCGUGAUGCAUAAAGGUAACAUGAUACAAUGUUGAUGUAUGCAUGACAAAUAUUCGUUUCUGUAAAUACCCGGCUAUGUGUAAAUGUGGUCUAAAGCUGUCAUAAUUUCAGCAUGAGGCUAGUAUUAUAUGUAGGUGAAGAGACUGUAGCAACCCAUUUACACAUUAUAGUUUUUCUGUCUCUGCCUCAGGUUUUCACCGAGGCUUCUAUGGCUAAAAGUGGGCACGUCUAACCGCAAGCAAAAAUGUGUGGCUAGAUACUUCCAUGCCACUGUUGUGGAAGAGGGAGGUGUGUAAUGUACUUUCUUUGUUAUUGAAGUGCUCAUGACAGCAGUUGAACAUGUGGAUUAGGCCAAAAACACAAAGAUCGUCUCCAUAUAUGUUAAGGGUGUGUCCCAAUAUGAUUAGAAGCGACAGAGGGAAGGAGAACUUUGUUGUCGGCCAAAUGCAAAUCGCAUAUCAGGUGCGGCAACUUGGAGAGCAAGCAUGGCAAGCCUUCAGAAUGGGGACAUCAGUGCACAACCAGAGAGCUGAAAGCUUCAACAGUAUCUUGAAGUGGACAUGGAUAAAAUAAAUGGCUGACAAGGUUUGAGGGGAUGAUAGCGGCUGACAUACUCGAACUGGACAAUCCUGUGCACAUGUACGUUAAGAGGUUUUUUAUAUAUAUAUAUAUAUAUAUAUAUAUAUAUAUAUAUAACUUUAUUUUUUAGAGUUUUCACAGUACAAUUAUACAAACAAUAACCCUGAUCCCACCCACCAAAGGUACAUAUAAUACAUACACAACGUCAAAGAAAGAAGAAACUUAAAAAAAAAAUACAAAUAAAAUAAUGCCACCUUUGAGACAAAAUGUAACAUUCUAAAAGACAGCCUGUAUAGGCUAAGUUUAGUUAGUGAAUGACUGUUCAUAAGUAAUGUAAUUGUGCUGCACGCAGCGCCCCACCAGUCCAGCUGUCAUGUGUGCAAUUGAGGAUCAAGAGAAGGAUAGGAAGCUAGGACUUCUUUUACCCAGCAAAGGAAAGAUGGGGGAUUAGCAGACUUCCACCUGCCGCAGGAUAAGUCUCCUAGCUAAAAGUGAAGCAAAUGCAAUGGCAUAUGCUUGGGAUGUAGAGGUCUGAACCUCCUCGGCUCUAACACCAAAGAUAGCAGUGAUAGGGUCUGGUGGAAUGAGCCUGCCACACAUAUGUGUAAAAGCCUCAAAUAUCUUGGUCAAAUUUGUCAUAUUUUAUUUGUCAACUUAUUAACGGACGGAAUUCGCGGAAUGUACCCUUUGAAACGGAAUUGCAACUUUCAAACGGAAACUCCCCUGUAUUUUGGCCUGCAAGACUGUAUUUAUUUCAAAUAAGCACAACGAUUGCAAGGAUGAACAAACAUUAAUUAAAAAAAAAAAAAAAAAAAACAUUAAGAAAAUGUCACGUCUGUGUUGAACUCCGCUCCGGCCACGCCCCCCUGUUCAACGGUUGAAGCUACAGCCUGUCACAUUAAUUCGCUCAUCUUCCCAAUCGCCUGCAAAUAAUGUUUUUUUUUAUUUUUUUAGUCUUUUGUUCUGUUGAUGGCUGGCAAACAACAAUCUUAGAAGGUUUGGGUCACUUGUGGCACAUAUUAUUUACUCAUUUUAAGCCAUCAAUCUACCUCAAGGUGAACAAAAUGAGCCGAAGCGGAAUGGUGCCAUGUACAGUAGAGUCCCGCCCAUGGGCCCUACAGCCUGUCCUUGUACACGGCUACCUUGGCGAAGCUGGACAGUGUCCCUAAUGUUGGCCAAACCCCAGUCUGUUAGGACUGCCCUCUUCGAAUCUGAAUCUGAAAUUGAAUCUGAAAGGUACAGAAAAAUUAUGAAUGUUGUACGAAAGUACUGUAUGACCUGGGAAGGUAUAUUUAAACUUAUAAAAGCAAA